rnacentral:rRNA from 1 species
GAACGCUGGCGGCGUGCUUAAUACAUGCAAGUUGAGCGGAGCUAAUAGUGAGUUACUUAUUAUUAGUCGAGCAGCGGACGGGUGAGUAACGCGUGGGCAAUCUGCCCUCUAGUUUGGGAUAACAGUUCGAAAGGACUGCUAACACCGAAUAAUCUUAAAUUUGGGCAUCUAAAUUUAAGGAAAGUUAACGCUAGAGGAUGAGCCCGCGUCCCAUUAGCUAGUUGGUGAGGUAACGGCCCACCAAGGCAACGAUGGGUAGCCGACCUGAGAGGGUGACCGGCCACACUGGGACUGAGACACGGCCCAGACUCCUACGGGAGGCAGCAGUAGGGAAUUUUCCGCAAUGGACGAAAGUCUGACGGAGCAACGCCGCGUGAGGGAUGAAGGUUUUCGGAUCGUAAACCUCUGUCCUUGGGGAAGAUAAUGACGGUACCCAAGGAGGAAGCCACGGCUAACUACGUGCCAGCCGCGGC